CCUCAGGCGGGCGUCCUACGGGGCAGCAGGCAUGGCGGCGGCGGCGGGGGGUUGUUUCCCCUCGCUGCGUUAUUUCGAGGGCCACCGGGUGCGACGUUGUCCCGCGGGGGGUGUAGCGCCCUGCCCGACCCGCCCGCUCUGAGGCGGCGGCGGGAAGGGGAGGCCCCGGGGGAGAGCGGGUCGCCGCAGGCUCCCCCGCGGCGGUGACUCCGGCCCUGGCGGUUUAGUCCCCGCCGGGAGCGGGCGGGAGGGGCUGCAUCUGCGACCUGUGCUAUCCCUUCUCAGGCAUUGGGGGGAAGUCAGGGACACUUCCUUUCAGCCCAGUGCACCAUUCAAGGCCAUUAAGGAAUCUCCAGUCUCAAGGACCCCGUAGAGCUGGGAAGGAAUCUUUGGAGCCGGUGCAGACCAAAAUACAGCAACUGGGUUUCUUUGGAAGCAACAUGAGUAUUUCUCAGUGUGGAUCCUGCUGGUGGUAAUGCUGGUAGCAGCAGGCAGCAGCGGUCCACUUGAUUCCUGAUGAUAACCCCAGAGUGCCCAGGGAAAUACCGGUACAGAAUUCUCCGCUUCCCUCCAGCCCCCCAGGCCGAGAAGAAGGGAGUCUUCUGCAUUCACUGAAACAACAGGUCUGAGGUGACCUUUGCUUAUUAUGCCAGGGAAAAAAGAAUAAUCCUACCUUGUCAGGGUGGCCAGAGAUGAUAGUUCUAUCUAUCAGAUAGUUUGAGAGAGAUCAUUUGUAGCAGCCCACCCUGGUUUUGUUCAGCUUUCUCUUCUCGUAGUCCUGGUUAAAAGCUCCUGCGUGUGCAGUAAGGGGUUAAUGCAGUCCUCCACGCAAAUACCUGUAAGACACAAGGUUGCCACGCAGGCUCUGCUCAGGAGGACAGGAACAGAACUAGGAUAUUCUUCCCCCACCACACCACUUUUCAGAUGGUGGUGACGUCCCUGCCAGGGAAGCGUUCCUGGGCCAUCGGUGCCCUGCCCGUACCCGCUGACCUGAGCGAUCCCCUGUCACCGUUCCAGCGAUGGCUUUUGUUCGUUCCUCCAAGCAUUCCUUCUUGCCCACACUACCAAGUUUCACUAGCCCUGGAAAUCAUGUCCUUCCCAAAGCGCUGGACCCUCCCGCACAUUUCAUAGCAUAGCAACGUAACUCAAUUACCAUGGAUCCCAGACACAGGCGUGCAGAAUUUAUCUAACUAAUCAAGCGGCUAAGGGACACCAGUUCCAGUUACAGUCAGCUUGGAGUAUAAAGCAGCUACAGCUAAAAGAUGGUGUGCAAGCACUUCCCAGGGAGGCAAAACAGUGAGGUGUAUUUUUCUUUUUUCUUUUUCUUUUUUUUUUCUUUUUUAAUGGCCAAUGUAACGGGUAUAGUUUUGGUAAACAAGAGGACAGAAUUAUUCAUUCAUCCCUAAAUUGCUUCCCACUGAGGUAUCACACCUGCAUGUGGUAUUUGAGAGCUGGGAGCAUUUUCUUUAAAAUACUGCCACAUUGUAGAAGUUUAUUAUCCAGCUUUUACUCUAAAUGUGAUUAUUAUGCAUUGCCAUCUUUUGCCCAAAAUCAAAAUGCACUCUACAAGAAAGGUGCACUUGGUUGCUCUCUGCAAAGCAGCUGGCACGACUGGAGUCAAAUGGAAUAUAGACCAGUUGGUCUGUCUUUUGCCACUUAGCAGUUAAUGAAAACUUACCAAACCUCAACUAGUAGCUAAUUGGAAAUCUCUACAAAACCCAUCUAUAAGCCCAGACAUGGGUCUUCCAGAAUAAAACAAACCUGAUAAAGCCUCUUUCAUCCAGGGAAGAAACCUGUUCAUCUGUAUUCCCUGAUUUAAGCACCUUUGGCAAGGUGCUUGGGACUGUUUGCUGAGCAUGUUAUUCAAAAGAUACAGUUAAAAUGAAGUGAGAGGGUUUUUUUUUUUAACUUUUAUGCACACAUUGAAGCCCUGAUAUAAGGCCUAUUUGUUACAGAAAACUUGAAUGGAUGCCACGGUGGGCAGAUCUGUCUUGCACCAACUUGCAGAAAAAUAGUGUCUUGUUUUAGAAAUAUUUCAAAUGGGAAGGAAGGACACUUAAAACAUGGCUUUGAAAAGCACAGAAGGAUAAUUCUUACCAAGCUGAGAUUAGAGAAGCAUUUCUCUUUAGGAAAAUUUUAGAACCGACUUGAGACCAGCAUAUAACAAACCUUGAAUUACAAGCGUAACCCUUUUUUCAUAACAACAGUCUUCACUAAGCAGUGCUAUUUUGGUCAGCGAUGAGUUCUUUUGUUGUGGGAGAUGGCUUUCAAUUUCGUGAUGUUGCAAUCGGGAAGCCUCGAACAUUUUGGGAUCAGUUCUAAUAUUUUCCUGUUGGUAAGCCAUUUUUAAGGCAAUAUACAGAUUAUGGUUAUUUUCCAAACGUGGGUCCAAAAUAAAAAGUCCGAGAAAGCCCAUCCCAUAAUUCAGGCUGACACUAAGUGCACGCUUCUCCAGGUUUGGCAGAGUGUGUUGUGUACGCUGGUUGUGUGAUAAAUGUAACAUUUUCUCCGAGAUUCUCCUGCUCCUUCCCUCUUUUGAGGUAUUUCUAUUUUCUGUUAUUUCUGUUUUCCUAGGACCUUGACACUGUUAUGUGCAUUCAUGUUGGCUGGUUUAUGUGAGCCGUGAAUACACAGCUAACCGUGAUUUAUAUAACUGGGGUCUUGAAGGAAGAUGAAACUUAACAAUGCAAAGGAGACAAAAAAAUCAGGCUUUUGACUAUUGUAUCCAUUCCAUUUACUUUCAAGGUAUUGUGGGGGGGUGGUGGUGGUUGUAUUUUAUUUUCCUUGACCAAUGCUUAUUUUUCUUCACGUCUUCCAUUUCAGGUCCUCUUGUCUUUUCCUACAGAAAAGGUUACAAUAUGUUUUUCUUGACAUUUCUACUUAGAUAUUCAGUAUGGCUCUCCUCAGCUGGCCGAGGGAAAAAAGCCAAAACUACUCAUUUGCUCUGACAAGUGUUUUCACUCUCCGUGUUCUUGAUGAUUGGUUGUGCUGUGUGCUUGACUUCUGCAGCAGCUAAUAAGUAACUCCUGAUUCCAGAGUAACUCCUGAUUCCAAAGGUUGACAGCUAUCACUUGAGCUCUCGUUUCCGAGCAAUCCAGCAGACCACUGCCACUAGCACCAAACUUUCCUGUAAUUCUGACAUCGUAGUGAAUUCCUCCCCAACUGGCAAUAAGAAGGUCUUACACGGCUUUUUCUCUGCUUGAAUUCUCUGUUUUCUGGAUUGUGAAAUUAUCCUCUGCAUAAUUCAAGAACCGUUUCAUGAUCUAUGUUUAGCAGAAUUUGUUACCCAACAGAUGUCUGGACAGUUAAUGACCUCUGUAAGUACAGCCCUGUGAUUUCUUGCUACUGAUGGUCCAAGAAUUUUUAAUCUCUUCUGCUACAAGUCAGCACUAGGGCAGCAUGUCACCUCUUAUUAAAAAACAAAAGCAUAAAAUGUGUAUAAAUUUUCCCUUCAGAAUUUUUAUGCCUCGUCAGAAGGCAUAAAGAAAAGAUUCUCUUUUGAAUCUUUAUGUUCACAAAUGUGUGCAUGCAUAAAUGCACAUAGGUCCAUAUUUUUCUGGCCAAAACCAAAGGACAUGAAUAAACCCCCCUGAAAUUAAUCAAAAUAUAAUUUCAAAGAAAACGUAAUUCCAUAAAUACAAGUCAGAACUGACGCUGCCAGCCUUCAAGUUGAGGAAAGGGUAGAUGCCUAGAAAAGUCCAUGGUAGGAAAGCCUCUUCUACUGUCACUUUUACGUGUAUGGCAAACGUAGUCUUAGAAGAGGAUUUGGAGGCACUGGAUCCAGAUCAUUACCCCCAGCCAGUGAUGAGUUCACAGUAUGAAAUCAUGCUGCAGCUGCACAACUAUUCCCUCUUUCCUCCUCCCCAUGCAGAUCAGGCUUGAGCCCAUCCCUGCAUAGGAAAGUUGUCCUAGUUUCUCUUCUGGUUUUUUCUCUCUUUUCAGUUAUCGGCACUUGGGAGAGGAAAACUAUUGGGCAGGACUGUAUCAAAGAGGAGGUAAGAGAGUCCCUAACAUCUGGCACUCCUCUCGCAGAGGAGAGAGUCAAGGAAUUGAGUGCCAAUUGAUACAGGUCCGGUCAGACGUCCCUGUGGAGGAAUUCUGCAAGCCACAUGAUGAAGUCCCUAGAACAUAAAUCCGCACAGUGAAGUGCUUAAGAGGAUGGCUCAUACUUCAUUGUGUGCCACUGUGAAGGAGAGAAAAUGGACUGCCUGCACACAAGCGCUCCUGUAGCAUUCGGGCUCCUGGCACCUGCCUGGGACUCCCACCACGUAGCUCUUGAAUGCCAAGAAGUUUGCUAGAUGUCUUGUUAGUACCUGCUCCUACAGUGGAAGGGUCAUUGUGGCCAAACUGCUGGAUUGGAAGGUGCUGAAACCACGGAGAAAGAUUAAUCAGCUGGAUCUACACUGGUAAGGUUCAGGGGCCAACGUUCCAGCACUGCUACGCAGAGCUCUUACAAUUGAAUUGUAAGCACGUUACCUGGCAGUUUUGGGAUGCGACUCUUAGCAGCCUCUCAGAUGAUACCUGGACAUGCUCGGAGGACAGCGUGGAGCAGGGACCAUUUCCUUGAAGGCAGUUUUACAUCAUCACUCUUUGUGAGGGGAAGAAGAAAAUGUAGAUCUGUGAUGCAAGCUGGACACGCUGUUUGGCCUCAGACCCCAAAGAACAAUCUCUGGUCUGUUUUAUGAGCUAAUAGAGCUGGACACAUCCUGGAGCAGGUACGAGAACUUCUUGCUACAGUUUUGGCCUCAGGCUCUCUAGCUUUAGGGAAAGGUUUCUUUUUUAGUUUGGUUUUGUGGGGGUUUGGGGUUAUUUUGGUUUUUUUUUUAAUGAGUUUAAGUAUGUGCAUACAUGCAUACCUACCCGUGUGGCUUUUCAGAUUGGGAAACCUACUUCCAACGCUCAUUCAUUACAAUUUGAGGGGCUUUACGUGCUCUUAUUUACUACCUGUCCCUCUUCCAAUGUCUUCUCACUUGAACACUUUGGGACCACUAACAUGGCCAAUUCUUACAGUGUUUCUUCUUGUGGUUCAGUGAAAAAUAACUAUUGCCCUAGCUCCCUCAUAUUACUGGGAACUGAUCUGACACACCAGACAAGUUCUUUUGACUUCAAGAGCAUCACUUGGCCUCAUAGGGAGCCUUUUGACGACCUUUAUUUUUUGACACCAAUACCUGAUUUAGAUACUCUAUGUGGAAAUUGUCCUGUGCUCAUAUAAAGCAUACGAUACAGAGGCUAUUCUGGGGCCAGUUAGCCUGAACAUCAGGGUCUAAUCAAAACUACUGAGAAUGUCAGACUUUUUUUUUUUUUUUUUUCCUUCGUAGUCAGUCCCAGAUGGGCUGAUUUGGGGGGUUUUCUUUGUUUUCCCAUUUGGAGUUUCCUCAACCACUUUCAGAGGUACAAGAUGUACAUUCACCAGUUCCUCAGUUUUCACAGAGGUAUUUCUACUAUCUUGUCAGAUUUUUUUACACAGGGCGGUCACCAAGUUACAGAUGAUGACAUGACCAAAUAAUUGGUUUUCCCCUCCAAACACGUGUGGCCUCCUGUUUCUAGAGCAUCUACUAUUUUACAAAUAAAGAGUAUUUCUCCCACUUUCAUGAAUUUUCUCACCUGGUGGCUGUUCUGGAAUGGGCUAGUGCUUCCACACCCACUCUUGUCCCAAAGGAUGUCUCCCCAAAGCAACUAAACCUGACUCAGAUAUGGUUCUCUCUUCAAAAUCAAAGGGCACUCUGUAGAUUCUGACUAUAGACAUAUGGGCCUACUGCUGUGCAAGAUGUUCGGAGCAAUCAGACAUUCUGGCUGUGAUCUAUCUAGAAUAAAAAUGAUGCUUAUCAGGAAUGGCCAUGAGGUAAUUGGGGAACCAAAUGCUCCACACCACCAUCUGUGAUUGUGCCCAUCUAAAUGUGGCAUCACUGGGACAUACAUAUGUGCUCACAGGCUGAGGAACCCCUUUCAGUGGUGAUGGCCAGAAAUUCUGACUUACCUGCUAAAGUGAAGGUGACUCAUAAUAUUUGCACAGAAUAAGACAUGAAAAAGUUUGAUUAGACAAUCUGGGAUUCUUUUUUAAGUCCUUGAACAGCCCUAUGGUACUGAGUCAUAAGUCCCUGUAUACACUGAAACUUCUGCAAUUUCGCUCUCAAGCUGCUUCUCAGGACUUCUUCGCAGGAAUCAUUUUCCACAGAAAGGAUGAGUUCAGCCACCCUGCUUCAGAAACCACAAGCUUUUAAAGCAAUCUUUUGUCACAGGUUUGAGUUGACAAAAAUUGGCAGAUUUAAUGCAGGUCUACCUAUUUUUUUAAAGACUCAGAUGCUUGUUUUGUACAAUAUGAAACUUUUCAUGUAAUUGCAGUAAGGGGUAAUCUACAAAAUGGCUUGACUUCAAGAAAACUGCCCAGCUCCAAAAACUUUCUAUUGAAAAAUGCAUAUUAAAAUGACGCUAGAGCUUUGUUAGCAGUAGCACUGUUAGGAUCUUUUUGGCCAUAAGUUGUAUCAGACUUUUUUUUUUUGUGUGUGUGUGUGAAAUAUUCUCUCAUUCCUACUUCUAAGGUACUUUCAGUAUUAGCGAGCAAAAAAUAGUGUUUAAUAGUUUAAUAGUAGUUUUCUUGUUUGAUUUUCUCUUUAUAUGCUCAGAUCAUAGAAUCACAGAAUGGUUGGGGUUGGAAGUGACCUUUAAAGAUCAUCUAGUUCCAACACCCCUGCCAUGGGCAGGGACACCUUUCACUAGACCAGGUUGCUCAAAGCCCCAUCCAACCUGGCCUUGAACACUGCCAGGGAUGGGGCAGCCACAGCCUCUCUGGGCAGCCUGUGCCAGUGCCUCACCACCCUCAUUGUAAAAAAUUUCUUCCUUAUGUCUAGUCUAAAUCUACCCUCUUUCAGUUUAAAACCAUUACCCUUUGUCCUAUUGCAACAGGCCCUACUAAAAAGUCUGUGCUCAUCUUUCUUAUAAGACCCCUUUAAGUAAUGAAAGGCUGCAGUAAGGUCUCCCUGGAGCCUUCUCUUCUCCAGACUCAACAACCCCAACUCUCUCAGCCUUUCUCCAUAGCAGAGGUGCUCCAGCCCUCUGAUCGUUUUCGUGUCCCUCCUCUGGACCUGCUCCAACAGGUCCAUGUCUGUCCCGUGCUGAGGACCCCAGAGCUGGACGCAGGACCGCAGGUGGGCUCUCCCCCGAUGGGAGCAGAGGGGCAGAAUCCCCUCCCUCGACCUGCUGCCCACGCUGCUUGGGAUGCAGCCCAGGACACGGUCGGCUUGCUGGGCUGCAAGCGCACGUUGCUGGCUCGCGCCCGGCUUUUCAUCCCCCAGUACCCCCAAGUCCUUCUCGGCAGGGCUGCUCUCAAUCCCUUCAUCCCCCAGCCUGUGUUGAUACCGGGGGCUGCCCCGACCCAGCGACAGGACCCUGCACUUGGCCUUGUUGAAUCUCAUGAGAUUUCAGAUGGUUGAAAGCAUUUUGUCAACCAAACAACAUCCACUGUAGGCCCAUGUGUAGUAAAGGUGAGAAAAUUAAGACAAAAGUUGUAAGAAAAUGGUCCUUGAUGUUCCCUGGGCAUGUACUUAAUUGUACACUUCAGAUGAAAGAAAAGGAAAUACUUCAAAGCUUUCAUACAGUUCAUGCAUUAUGUAAGAGAAAUUUAUUUACCUUUCAAGCAGGUUACAUAGGUGAUUUUAAUGCAUUUUCCAAAUAGAAAGUGUAUUUAUUGACGAUAAUCUGUGAUUCUUCAAUAUCACAGAGGGAAGGAAGAUUUAGGAAAAAAAAAAUUCUGAAGUCCUGAGGCCUAGAAAAAUACAAGAAUAAUGAGCUUAGAAGAAUUAGUGGUCAGAAAGUUCCACCAAAAAGACAGUGAAUUAAAUUACAGAGUUUUUUUACAGCAAGUCGGGAGCCCAAAAUGUGAGUAAUACUAUAGCAGGAUCAAUGAGGACAAAGGAAACAGCAAUAAGACUGCAUACAAUGCCAGAACUGCUUAUGGGGCAAAAUGUAUGAGCCAGGAGUUCUCAUUUGCAGCCCACACACUGACACAGCAUCACUUUUUUUUUGUUCUCACAUGUUCACAGUCAGUUACAAAGCCAACAGCACUUCCAUGGCAGCUAAAAAUGAGUGCAUUUCUUCUCGAUAAGGUGCUACACAGUGAUGCUGCCAUGCAUAUUUUUUUUAAAGCUAAACUUUUUCUCCAUAACUUUGAUCUACAGCAGUUUCAAGCUGUGUUUCUGAUAGGUCCUAAUUUUCUAAAUGCCCCCAUAAAACAAAACGAAUGAAAUACAGAAGAAAACGGUCAGAAUGAGCAUGUAGGGCUUAUUAAUAGAAAUCUGAUCGGCAGUACUGUUCAUUGUGUGACUGAUAAAUACCUGGAGCAAAAUAAGGAGCAAUGUCUAAAUUUGAGGGUGCAUUUUUAUAACAAGUUUCGUAUUUUUAAGCAAGAUGGACAAGUGAGUUUUCUACAGAACAUUUUGGUGCUCUGUGAAGUUUGCCUUUCUAUAUAAAGAGCUCAUCUAUAUUUGUUUCCCACAUGCUUCCAAGAAUGAUGUAGCAUCAAAAUUAAAAAUAUUUUUCAGUGACUAUCUUUUGAAGGCUAUCACUGCUGACAAAACAGGAGGAGAGAAUUUUAAGCACGCAUUUUUGCAGUUGCAUAGAAGUGCAAGUUUCGAAGAAAUUGUAAAUCCUAUAUACUGUAAAGCUGGAAAACAUUUAGUUUACAAACAGGCAGAGAAGACAAGCAUGGGAGAAAAUAAAAUACUGCCACACUUGAUGGCUAUUGAGAGGCAGCUCUA